rnacentral:rRNA from 1 species
GACGUAGGGCGCGAGCGUUGUCCGGAUUUAUUGGGCGUAAAGAGCUCGUAGGCGGCUUGUCGCGUCGUCCGUGAAAACCUGCAGCUCAACUGCAGGCUUGCGGUCGAUACGGGCAGGCUGGAGUUCGGUAGGGGAGACUGGAAUUCCUGGUGUAGCGGUGAAAUGCGCAGAUAUCAGGAGGAACACCGGUGGCGAAGGCGGGUCUCUGGGCCGAUAUUGACGCUGAGGAGCGAAAGCGUGGGGAGCGAACAGG